rnacentral:rRNA from 1 species
CCUACGGGUGGCAGCAGUGAGGAAUAUUGGUCAAUGGGCGCGAGCCUGAACCAGCCAAGUCGCGUGAGGGAAGACGGUCCUAUGGAUUGUAAACCUCUUUUGUCGGGGAGCAAAAGACGCCACGCGUGGCGUUCCGAGAGUACCCUAAGAAAAAGCAUCGGCUAACUCCGUGCCAGCAGCCGCGGUAAUCCGGAGGAUGCGAGCGUUAUCCGGAUUUAUUGGGUUUAAAGGGUGCGCAGGCGGAAGAUCAAGUCAGCGGUAAAAUUGAGGGGCUCAACCUCUUCGAGCAGUUGAAACUGGUUGUCUUGAGUGAGCGAGAAGUAUGCGGAAUGCGUGGUGUAGCGGUGAAAUGCAUAGAUAUCACGAAGAACUCCGAUUGCGAAGGCAGCAUACCGGCGCUCAACUGACGCUCAUGCACGAAAGUGUGGGUAUCGAACAGGAUUAGAUACCCGUGUAGUC